GUUCCUCUGGAGUGAACACCAGCAGCGAAAGUUUCCCGAAAUCUCACUCUCACUUCUCAGAGUUAAGUGACUCACACAGCCCUCUCUCUGUGGAACUGACUCCAGAUUCUGGCAUUGUUGCCACACCCCUGCCAUCCAGUCGGUUCAGGUUCGCCUCGUGGCACUGGUUAGAGGAGCACGAUGUCCGUGGAGACCAGCUCGCCUGUCCCAGAGUCAGAGAGGGCCCAGCUGAAGAGGAGCUGUCUGUUAACAGCGAAGACAUAUUUCUCAGAGCCGGCAGGAGGAAGAGGAGAGAGGAGGGAGGACAGAAAUGGGAGGAGAGACUUCAGGAGAACUGGG